CGGAGGAUGCAAGCGUUAUCCGGAUUUAUUGGGUUUAAAGGGUGCGUAGGCGGAUAUGUAAGUCAGCGGUGAAACUCACAGGCUCAACCUGUGCCGUGCCGUUGAAACUGUGUAUCUGGAAUGCGGAUGCUGUGGGAGGAAUGUGUAGUGUAGCGGUGAAAUGCAUAGAUAUUACACAGAACACCGAUUGCGAAGGCAUCUCACAAAGCCGUUAUUGACGCUGAGGCACGAAAGUGUGGGGAUCAAA
rnacentral:rRNA from 1 species